rnacentral:misc_RNA from 1 species
AGAUCUCUCUGGUGUUCACAUUGUGACGGGGGCUCAGCUUGGUGUUUGGAAUUUUGGUGCCAAAAGUGUCUUGCAUCUUAAACUCCUCUUUUCCAAAGUACCUGGCUGCACAAUAAGAAGAUCGGUAUGGGAUCACAGUCCAUCAAACCUAUCAGCAGUACAAAGGAUUGAUGGUUCUUCAACUUCACUUCAGAAUGAAAACAAGAAAGGCGAUACUUCCAGCCAAACAGGGAAAUUGGCAAAAAUUGUAGACAUGACAGAAAUGUCAAAGGGGCCACAGGAUGCACCAGGACACUGGUUGGUAACAGGAGCUAAACUUGGAGUUGAUAAAGGAAAAAUUGUGCUAAGAGUGAAGUAUUCCCUGCUGAAUUAUUAAUAAGUUGUGUUGUCUGUGAGAUUAAAGCAUUCUUUGGAUAGUUUAGAUAUCAUGUUAUUCUUCUGUAAAUUAUGUUUAGCAUUGAUCAUUCAUUUUUGUUAUUGCUAUUUUAUAGCCACCAGAUCAGUGUACUACUCCGGGUGCAUACAGUGAAAAAUUU